rfam:Felis catus isolate Cinnamon breed Abyssinian chromosome D4, whole genome shotgun sequence.
GCCUGGGUGGCUCAGUCAGUUAAGCGUCUGACUUCAGCUCAGGUCAUGAUCUCACAGUUCGUGGGUUCGAGCCCUGCGCUGGGCU